UAGGUAACUGUAUUGAGCCGCAGUGAUC
rnacentral:sRNA from 1 species